UAACCGUAAGUGAACCUGCGGAAGGAUCAUUGUCGAAACCUGCCCAGCAGAACAACCAGCGAACCCGUGAAUAACACAUCGGGGACCCCGGGGCCCUGUGUCCCGGAGCCUUCCUUGGUCGGGGGUCUGCACCUCGCGCCUCGCCCGUCGAUGCGCGGUUGCAGCCUUCCCGGCCGCACAAACGAACCCCGGCGCAAACCGCGCCAAGGAACACCUAACGAAUUGGCAUUCACCCCCCGCCCCGGAGACGGUGUGCGGUCGGGGUGUGCGUCGUAUUCUCUAUUGUAAUGUCAAAACGACUCUCGGCAACGGAUAUCUCGGCUCUC
rnacentral:misc_RNA from 1 species